UACAGAGGGUGCGAGCGUUGUCCGGAAUCACUGGGCGUAAAGGGCGCGUAGGUGGCGCGACAAGUCAGUGGUGAAAGCUCGACGCUCAACGUCGAGUCGGCCACUGAGACUGUUGGGCUUGAGCACUGUAGAGGCUAAUGGAAUUCCGGGUGUAGCGGUGGAAUGCGUAGAGAUCCGGAAGAACACCGGUGGCGAAGGCGGCCUGCUGGGGCAGUUGCUGACACUGAGGCGCGACAGCGUGGGGAGCAAACAGGG
rnacentral:rRNA from 1 species